rnacentral:lncRNA from 1 species
GGCAAGCUCGUUGUCUUAUGCAUUACAUAGACAAAUCUGCUAUGCUGUAGUACCUCAAUGAAGGUUCUCUAGUUUUAUAAAUUCAAUAUGAGAGGUUUGCCACAUAUUUGGUCAUGGGAGAUGCCCACAGCUUCUCAGAAAGGAAUCAGCUAUCAUAUUCUAGUGAAUGCUCUUAAGUUCCUGAUGGUUCUGUUCUUGUGGGAUUUUAUCAAGCACUGUGCAAGGAUUUGUGAAAAGUGAGAGAUUUGGUGGAUGUCUACUUAUCAUCUUAUGUAGAGGAGCAUCUUACGUGAUAACUUAAGAUCUUUCGCCAAUUUAAAAUCCUAACAUUUUGAGGCUUGAACUUUUUGCUAUAAUUGUUUAAUCGAGAUCUCUCUAGUUUGUAUUGCCAAUCAUAAGAGGGGGAGUAUGUGACGGAUACCUACUGUUUUGUGAUGGAUGUCAUUACCAUACUGUGGAAUACUCUGGGGCGAGAUAUUUGUCGUAUCUCAGUUCAUGGAAUCUUGCAAAGGUGGCUUCCUUCGCUGAACUUGAGAACUGGAGCUCUCACCUUUGUAUGGCACUGGCAUGGUGUGCGUCAAAUCUUCAUCCCCAUAUUGACUAAUUUACAUUUC